AUUGAACGCUGGCGGCAGGCCUAACACAUGCAAGUCGAGCGAGCGGCGGACGGGUGAGUAAUGUCUGGGAAACUGCCUGAUGGAGGGGGAUAACUACUGGCAACGGUAGCUAAUACCGCAUACCAUCAGAUGUGCCCAGAUGGGAUUAGCUGGUAGGUGGGGUAACGGCUCACCUAGUCGACGAUCCCUAGCUGGUCUGAGAGGAUGACCAGCCACACUGGACAUGAGCCAGGGUCCAGACUCCGACGGGAGGCAGCAGUGGGGAAUAUUGCACAAUGGGCGCGAGCCUGAUGCAGCCAUGCCGCGUGUGUGAAGAAGGCCUGCGGGGUGUAAAGCACUUUCAGCGGGGAGGCGUUACCCGCAGAAGAAGCACCGGCGAACUCCGUGCCAGCAGCCGCGGUAAUUC
rnacentral:rRNA from 1 species